rnacentral:rRNA from 1 species
UGCCUACGGGGGGCAGCAGUGGGGAAUAUUGGGCAAUGGGCGCAAGCCUGACCCAGCAACGCCGCGUGAAGGAAGAAGGCUUUCGGGCUGUAAACUUCUUUUACCAGGGACGAAGAAAGUGACGGUACCUGGAGAAUAAGCCACGGCUAACUACGUGCCAGCAGCCGCGGUAAUACGUAGGUGGCGAGCGUUGUCCGGAUUUACUGGGUGUAAAGGGCGCGUAGGCGGGAAUGCAAGUCAGAUGUGAAAUCCAUGGGCUUAACCCAUGAACUGCAUUUGAAACUGUAUUUCUUGAGUGUCG